GUUCUCUUCAGAGGCCGGUCAUUGGAAUGGGUACAAUUUAAACCCUUUAACGAGUAUCUAUGAGAGGGCAAGUCUGGUGCCAGCAGCCGCGGUAAUUCCAGCUCUCAAAAUGCAUAGAAUCAUUGCUGCGGUUAAAAAGCUCGUAGUUGGAUCUGUGCUGGCGGGUCGGUCCACCUUCGGGUGCGCACUGAUUUCGCCGGCUUUCCUGCUGUAUUUGGCCCUGUGCCUUUCAACGGGUGCAGUGUCCAGUGCAGCAAGUUUACCUUGAACAAAUCAGAGUGCUUCAAACAGGCGUUUCGCUUGAAUGUUCGUGCAUGGAAUAAUAGAAGAGGAUUUCGGUUCUAUUUUAUUGGUUUUAUAGACUGAGAUAGUGGUUAACAGAGACUAACGGGGGCAUUAGUAUUGCUACGUGAGAGGUGAAAUUCUUGGACCGUAGCAAGACUGACUACAGCGAAAGCAUUUGCCAAGAAAGUCUUCAUUAAUCAAGAACGAAAGUCAGAGGUUCGAAGGCGAUCAGAUACCGCCCUAGUUCUGACCGUAAACGAUGCCAACUAGUGAUCCGCCGGUGGAACAUUCGCCCUGGUGGGGAACUUCCCGGAAACGAAAGUCUUCCGGUUCCGGGGGAAGUAUGGUUGCAAAGCUGAAACUUAAAGGAAUUGACGGAAGGGCACCACCAGGAGUGGAGCCUGCGGCUUAAUUUGACACAACACGGGAAAACUCACCCGGCCCGGACACCGUAAGGAUUGACAGAUUGAUAGCUCUUUCAUGAUUCGGUGGAUGGUGGUGCAUGGCCGUUCUUAGUUCGUGGAGCGAUUUGUCUGGUUUAUUCCGAUAACGAGCGAGACUCUGGCCUACUAAAUAGUUUACACAUUGCUUCUGUGUGCAUAACUUCUUAGAGGGAUUUUCGGUGUUCAGCCGCAAGAAAUUGAGCAAUAACAGGUCUGUGAUGCCCUUAGAUGUCCGGGGCUGCACGCGCGCUACACUGGCAAAAUCAGCGUGCUUGUCCUUCCCCGAAAGGGGUUGGUAAACUCGUGGAAAUUUGCCGUGAUUGGGAUCGGAAAUUGCAAUUAUUUUCCGUGAACGAGGAAUUCCAAGUAAGUGCGAGUCAUCAACUCGCGUUGAUUACGUCCCUGCCCUUUGUACACACCGCCCGUCGCUGCCCGGGACUGAGCCGUUUCGAGAAACUUGGAGACCGCUGAUCUGGUAACUUCGAUUGCCAUUUUGGUGGGAACCAAUUUAA
rnacentral:rRNA from 1 species